AAAAGACCYUAGCAAUAGGUAUGCUUAGGGAGGAGCUUGCGUCACAUUAGUUAGUUGGUGGGGUAAAGGCCUACCAAGACUAUGAUGUGUAGCCGGGCUGAGAGGUUGAACGGCCACAUUGGGACUGAGACACGGCCCAAACUCCUACGGGAGGCAGCAGUAGGGAAUUUUCGGCAAUGGAGGAAACUCUGACCGAGCAACGCCGCGUGAACGAUGAAGUAUUUCGGUACGUAAAGUUCUUUUAUUAGGGAAGAAUAAAUGAUGGAAAAAUCAUUCUGACGGUACCUAAUGAAUAAGCCCCGGCUAACUAUGUGCCAGCAGCCGCGGUAAUACAUAGGGGGCAAGCGUUAUCCGGAAUUAUUGGGCGUAAAGGGUGCGUAGGCGGUUAAAUAAGUUUAUGGUCUAAGUGCAAUGCUUAACAUUGUGAUGCUAUAAAAACUGUUUAGCUAGAGUAAGAUAGAGGCAAGUGGAAUUCCAUGUGUAGUGGUAAAAUGCGUAAAUAUAUGGAGGAACACCAGUAGCGAAGGCGGCUUGCUGGGUCUUUACUGACGCUGAGGCACGAAAGCGUGGGGAGCAAACAGGAUUAGAUACCCUGGUAGUCCACGCCGUAAACGAUGAGUACUAAAUGUUGGGUAAAACCAGUGUUGAAGUUAACACAUUAAGUACUCCGCCUGAGUAGUACGUACGCAAGUAUGAAACUUAAAGGAAUUGACGGGACUCCGCACAAGCGGUGGAUCAUGUUGUUUAAUUCGAAGGUACCCGAAAAACCUCACCAGGUCUUGACAUGCUUCUGCAAAGCUGUAGAAACACAGUGGAGGUUAUCAGUUGCACAGGUGGUGCAUGGUUGUCGUCAGCUCGUGUCGUGAGAUGUUGGGUUAAGUCCCGCAACGAGCGCAACCCUUAUUGUUAGUUGCCAGCACGUAAUGGUGGGGACUUUAGCAAGACUGCCAGUGAUAAAUUGGAGGAAGGUGGGGACGACGUCAAAUCAUCAUGCCCCUUAUGACCUGGGCUACAAACGUGAUACA
rnacentral:rRNA from 1 species